UCCUGGACCGUGGGACCCGCUGGAGGGACGGGGGCCCAGCUGGGGGUCGGUUCUGUCAGAGGUCGACGGCACGGGUAGUGGGGGCCAGGGAGGGUCCACCCCUUGCUCUGACCCAGAGAGGUUCCCGGGCCAGGGGGCCCCGAGCAGA